rnacentral:rRNA from 1 species
UGUGUUGUUGGGUAGGGGAGCGUUCUGUAAGCCUGUGAAGGUGUACUGUGAGGUAUGCUGGAGGUAUCAGAAGUGCGAAUGCUGACAUAAGUAACGAUAAAGCGGGUGAAAAGCCCGCUCGCCGGAAGACCAAGGGUUCCUGUCCAACGUUAAUCGGGGCAGGGUGAGUCGACCCCUAAGGCGAGGCCGAAAGGCGUAGUCGAUGGGAAACAGGUUAAUAUUCCUGUACUUGGUGUUACUGCGAAGGGGGGACGGAGAAGGCUAUGUUGGCCGGGCGACGGUUGUCCCGGUUUAAGCGUGUAGGCUGGUUUUCCAGGCAAAUCCGGAAAAUCAAGGCUGAGGCGUGAUGACGAGGCACUACGGUGCUGAAGCAACAAAUGCCCUGCUUCCAGGAAAAGCCUCUAAGCAUCAGGUAACAUCAAAUCGUACCCCAAACCGACACAGGUGGUCAGGUAGAGAAUACCAAGGCGCUUGAGAGAACUCGGGUGAAGGAACUAGGCAAAAUGGUGCCGUAACUUCGGGAGAAGG